AGAGUUGUAUCCUGGCUCAGAUUGAACGCUGGCGGCAUGCCUUACACAUGCAAGUCGAACGGUAACAGGUCAAGCUGACGAGUGGCGAACGGGUGAGUAAUAUAUCGGAACGUGCCCAGUAGUGGGGGAUAGCCCGGCGAAAGCCGGAUUAAUACCGCAUACGACCUACGGGUGAGAGGGGGGGAUCGCAAGACCUCUCGCUAUUGGAGCGGCCGAUAUCAGAUUAGGUAGUUGGUGGGGUAAAGGCUCACCAAGCCGACGAUCUGUAGCUGGUCUGAGAGGACGACCAGCCACACUGGGACUGAGACACGGCCCAGACUCCUACGGGAGGCAGCAGUGGGGAAUUUUGGACAAUGGGCGCAAGCCUGAUCCAGCCAUGCCGCGUGCAGGAUGAAGGCCUUCGGGUUGUAAACUGCUUUUGUACGGAACGAAAAGGUCUGACCUAAUAAGUUGGGCCCAUGACGGUACCGUAAGAAUAAGCACCGGCUAACUACGUGCCAGCAGCCGCGGUAAUACGUAGGGUGCGAGCGUUAAUCGGAAUUACUGGGCGUAAAGCGUGCGCAGGCGGUUAUGUAAGACAGAUGUGAAAUCCCCGGGCUCAACCUGGGAACUGCAUUAGUGACUGCAUAGCUGGAGUACGGCAGAGGGGGAUGGAAUUCCGCGUGUAGCAGUGAAAUGCGUAGAUAUGCGGAGGAACACCGAUGGCGAAGGCAAUCCCCUGGACCUGUACUGACGCUCAUGCACGAAAGCGUGGGGAGCAAACAG
rnacentral:rRNA from 1 species